AGGUUUAUAGUCCUGGGAGUUCAACACUGCAGGACUCAGAUCUGUCAGUCAACACAGCAGAAAGCACAACCACCAUGACUCUCAUCACCAUCCUCAUCUGGACGCUGGCCUGCUGCUGUUUUACAGGAUGCAGCGGUCAGGUGACUGUGACUCAGCCUCCAGUAGUGACAUUUACUCCAGGAUCCACUGUCACUCUCAGCUGUAAAACCAACCCAAAAGUUCAUGUUUGGUCAGAUGGAGGUAGUCGAGUAAACUGGUACCAGCAGAAAUCUGGAGAAGUUCCUAAACUGCUGAUCUACAAUGGUAAAAAUAAACCAUCCAAUGGAGGAUCUCCAGGUCGAUUCAGUGGAACAGGAGACGGAGUGAACGCUGCAAUGACCAUCAGUGGAGUUCUGACUGAAGAUGCAGCAGUUUAUUACUGUCAGAUACGAUGAAAUAAACAGUGCUUG